AUAUGUCAAACGGCAAAGUUCCAUAUAAUUCGCAUAAUAAGGAUGCGAAGUUUCUACUAGGCGACCGUAAAUCGCCUUGCUAUGGACUAAAUACUUAUUAGU
rfam:[Clostridium] paradoxum JW-YL-7 = DSM 7308 strain JW-YL-7 ctg1, whole genome shotgun sequence.